CAUUUACUCUUUCUCUAAAGAAAUUUAAUAAAUGUUUUUUUCAUUAGAUAAACUAUUAAUUAUAGCUCACAUAUAAUGUGCCCUUUCGAAAAAUUUUGAUGCUAAUAUUGUCAUUUCCCCAGGUUGUAGUAUGAAACUUGACCAAAGUUCAAACUCUAGUUUGUUGGAUAGUGAAGCUUCAACAUUGAAGGUGCAUAUUGAACAUUUUGAUCAUCAACAUCCCUUGAGCUAUAAUGAGGCUAUUGAGCAGAAUGAAAGUCUUCUUUGCAAUGGUUGCUGUCAGGAAAUUUUUGAUCAACACUAUGCUUGUGAAGAUUGUAAAUACUACUUACAUGGAACGUGCACUACAUUGUCGUAUGAGGUGUCACACCCUCUUCAUUGCCAGCAUCCUCUCAAGCUCUUCACGGAUAAAGUUGAAUUUAUAUGUCAUGGAUGUAGGGACCAUUCUAAUGGGUUUGCUUACAUGUGCCUUCCAUGUGAUUUCCAACUUGAUGUGAAAUGUGCUACCACUCCAAUCCCACCUAAAAAUGAAGGGCAAAAGCAGACAGAGAUGGAGGAAGUUUCCAAGCUGUGCCCUUUCAAUCAAAAUCAUAAGCUAGACUUCUUCAACCGUAGACCCAAUCUCAAAGAUUUGGCUUUGGAAUGCGAUGCUUGCAAGCUACCAAUCUUGGGUCCAGGUUAUACUUGUGGUGAUUGUUUCGGUAUCAAAUUUCAUGAAUCUUGUCUUGCACUUAUGCGGGAGAUGCAACUCACCAUUCAUCCAUUACACACCCUUCAUCCACAAAUCGGCGAUUGGAUAAAUCGUUCUACCUGCGGAUUUAAAAUCAUUGAAAGUAUCAAUUAUAGUUAUUGGCAGUGUGAUUUCCAGCUUCAUCUUCAUUGUGCUAAUUCCCUGAAGCUGGCCUUAAAAAUUAAGUCUCACAUGCAUAAUCUUUAUUAGUUUGAACCAUAUUAUGAGAAAUCCUACCACUUUUGUAACAAAUGCAAAAGUUACAUUGGUGAGGAACCUUUCUAUUAUUGCGUGGAGUGCAAUAUGAAUUUGCACUUAAAAUGUGUUCCCAUACCAUGUUCAGUUAAAUCCAAAUGUCACAUGCAUUGUUUGGCUCUUAAAAAUCAUUUUGUGGAAGACGAUUUUGGAGAAUACUAUUGCGACAUUUGUGAAGAAGAAAGGAACUCAAAAAUUCAUUGCUAUUAUUGUGAAGAGUGUGCUGGACAAUUUGUUGCUCACAUCGAGUGCGUGCUUCUUACAAAUUUUGAAUUUGCAGAUGGAAAUUUCCAUGAAUUUUCCAACUUGAAAGAUGUUGACUCACCUGUUGAGAGUUCCUCUAUGGAUAAGUUGCUUUCCCAACCCCACGCCGAAGUGUACUUGAACCAAAACAGAAUGGUAGUUAAGUCCCAUAAGUACUGGGUGGAUAAGAAGUUAAGCAAAUACUAUUUCAUGUUGUUUGCAAGAGAUCUUACAAUCACUUGGUCAGAAGACCACCGUUACUGACAUUGGUUAUACCAAAGAGAAACAAACAGCGAUGUGUUGAUUAAUGUUGCCAAACUUCUAAAAGUGUGUUGGCUAGAAAUGCAUGUGAAAUUCAAUGUAAAAAAGCUCUCACUGGAAACUUUGUAUGGAGUUGUAUUCGUGUUGAAGUUGACAGAUGAAGCAUAUGGAUGGGAAUAUCCAGUGAAGUUCGGAGUCACUCUUCCAAAUGGGUACAAAGUUGAAUGUGAGGAUUAUUUGAUGACCAAGCCGAGAGGAGUAUGGAUAAAAAUCUUUGUUGGAGAAUUUACAACUUCAUCAAAAAAUAUUGGAGAACUAAAUAUUUACUGUCGCGGAUAUUAUGGUGGGAGAUGGAAGGGAGGCUUAUUGUUAAAGGAGUUGCUAUUUUGCCAAAGAAUUAAGUAAUAAAUUAGUAUUUUCUCACAA